rnacentral:ncRNA from 1 species
CUAAAAGCAAUGAAGGAGAGGAGUAGGUUAAUCCCUCCCUAAUAGAGAUAAAUACCCUUAGGCUGGAAGGUAUUUUUAGGGAUAUUAGCUGAAGUAGCUCUGGAGCUGUUAAGCUGAAAGUUUAGUAGGUUUAAUCGGAAGCUAGCCGUUAUCUAGUAUCAGGUAAGUUAAAACAGUUAUUUAUAUAGACCUGAAGUGAGUGCUAAGUUAGAACUAAGGUGGUACCGCGGAAGAUAGAGACUCUUUCGUCCUUAAA